ACGUACAUCAAGUACGUUCCGGUUCCUGCGCUCCGUCCGCCUAGUCUGACGGCCGCUCGCUACAAAAGUCUUCACCC
rnacentral:sRNA from 1 species